GGACAGCAACUGAAAGGAGAUCAUCUCUUGGGCCUACAUUGCUUCCUGAGAAGGACUGAUGCAUCACCAGAGAGCUCCUUUAUCAGUGCGGUACACUGAGAUUCUGCCUGGUUGCCCUUCCCACAGCACUGAUAUUUCAGAAAUAAAGAUAUCUGCUGAAAGUUCUGAAUACAUCCUUUUCCUUCAGCUGCAGUUGUUUGGCUUCCUUGCUUCCUGUGAUGACCACCCUUCUGUGAGCAACCAUCAUCACCUAAGCACUCAAGGCAUCAGCAUCUCUGCAUACGGUAGCUUCACCAGGAGAGGAGUAACUUAGACCCUGGACCCUUUUCUUCCUUCAUCUCUUUCUUUAGCUUGUUUGCUCAAAACUUGAUGGUCCCAAGUUGGAUUCCUCUAAUUUCAAUGGAGAUUUCUGUGCUUUUUAAUUUUUUUGUGAGGUCUGCCUUUGUUAUCAGCUUAUUUUAAAACUUUAGAGUAUUUUUUGGCAUAAAUGUGUACACUUUCCCUCGUCUAUGUACUAUACAUGCCUGCUAGAUCCUUUAUUCAUAGUUUCUUACACAGUUGCAGCUCCUUUUGAGGUCAAAUUCUUAUCAAGUGUAAGUUGAUGGUGCCUUAUUUAAACUGAGCUGCAUUAGUUUACACUGAAUAGGAUCCUGCUUUUUUAGAGUUUGUGUUAUUAAUUGCUAAGGCAAUUGCAAAUACUCAUGUUUAUGGAAAGUUCUGAUAAUAAGAUCAUUUUAUUUGUAAUUCAAGUUAAAUUAGAUAGACAAAACUUUAUUCUACAGCCAUGCUUGCUGUUUUUAUUCUAACCAACGAAAAAAGCUUUCCUCUGAAAGUAUGUCUUCUCUCCUUCCACAAAGAAAGAUGAUUUGAUCAAGUGUCUUGAUUACUAUUUCUCCUGUUUGAAAGCAUAUAAACCUUUUGGAUAGGAUAGCUAGGGAAUCAUUUGACUGGAAAAGAAAUUUUGUGAUGAUAUGAGCAAGUGUAGCUGCAUACUUCCACGGUACGGUUGUAUUAUUUUUAGAUCUGGAUAUACUUCUUGUUUAAAAACUCUUUUCCUGAAAGAGUGUCAUUGUCUGGCAUUACCUUCCAAACUGGCUAUACUUUAAAGUUUUAAAUGAAGAUGUAUAUAUUGUGGCUGCUGGUGAAAUAGAAUGGCAGUUGUUGAUGGCCACAGCUGGGGAGUAAAUUAACUGGGGAACAAUCUCAAUUCAUGCUUUUGAGAAAUGGUCCAGACAAUCAUAACCUAAAAUAAGAUCAUUCUGAAAGUGAGGAGCUUUUGGCUUCCAGUUUGGACAGGUUUGCUCAAACAUUGUAAGGAUUUAAUUACUUAUAUAACUGAAGUAUUUCUGCAGUUAGUGAAUGUUAAAAAUAUCAUAUGUGCAGCAUAUGCUUUUUCUAAAGUGUUAGAGGAAAUACAAUUCAAAGUGGAGGGGAUGAAACACCAUGACAUUUCUCUAACAGAAUUUCCAGCUUUACAAGAUGCCUCGCGUGAUGUAUGAUUAUCAAAGCAUAUGCAUCCCAGUUUUUACAGACUGGAAUAAGCGCGAACACUUUUUUUUUUUUUUAACUUAAAUGGAUCUAAGCCAAAUGUUCUGAGGUUUGUCCAUGAUAUUUCAUUACAAAACAAUCAGACAUUUCCAACUAGAAAUGCUUUUAUGAUUUACCAUGUUCUACUUGUAAGCCUUUGAAGAGAGAGUACUGGUUGCACCAUCAUUUAAUAAAAUUUGGACAGCUACAUUUUUUAUGCAAAAAAUAUGCCCUGGAAGCAAAUCUUUUUAUCAUUGGUCUUAACGAGUUUUCUGGCAGUCUACUGCACAAUUGUGAGUAAAUAUCAUUAAUAUUAAUUUGAAUAUCUACCCACUGUAAUUCAGAAAAUACCAAUGUCAUGAAUUGACCAGGAAUCACUGAGGAUAGCUACAAAUACUUGAGAAAUAUCUUCAGAUGUUCCAGCUGUUGGACGAAUAAUCCACAUUCUUUACAAAUGCUUGACGUUAUUGGCAUAUGAACCACUUAGCUGAAUGGGUAAAUGAAAAAGAAUGAGAAGUUGUGCAACCAAUUUGGGCAAUAUCUCUCUCCUUAUUCUGAGAAUGGCCUGGUUAAUUAGAAUGCUUUAAAUGCAACAUCUGUCUGUCUGAUAUGCACAGCUGUACAAUUUGUGCUCUGCUUGUGAUCCAGCUACACAGCCUGCCACACGCCAUCUGCUUUCUGUGGACUGUAAAAGGCAGUAUCUUGAUUGCCAUGUAUAGGAGGUGGAUUUCUUAUUCUUUCAAAUCUUGUUUUCAUUUUACUUUGUUCUUUCUGCCCUCCUUUGUAAUCCACAGGUUAGAAACUUGAAUUACUGCAAUUUAAUUAAAAUCUUUUUUACUCUAGGUGAAUUUUUCCAGGGGUAAUUCCUUGAGAACUGUAAGAUACAGAAGACCCCACAUGACACAAAUAACUUGAAUAGCAAGUACUAUCUAUAGAUAACAUCAUACAUUAAAGAAUAUUCAGUUGAAUGAUUUCAUGAAAUCUAAGCAAGUUAUUUUAACUUAGCCAGGUUUCUGUCAUUGCUAAGCUUUUGAACAGCUGAAGGACUUUUAAAAUGUUUCACAAGACAGAAUGUGUUGGAUGUUUCCUAGCUUUAAGAGGGUGUAAUAGAUGCACAAUUCAAAUCACAUAAGUUAAGGGAACUGAUAUGAUAGAGACACCUUCUAUUUUAGGGUUGGACAUUAGAUCUAGCUAUCAAUAAAAAACUGUGUACUGAACUCCAACAACAUCAACACUGAUGGGAGAACAAUCUGCUCAGCAACUACUUGUUGCUUUGGAAGUUUUACACCUGUAUGUAUAUUACAGCUUAAUGCUCAUCAGCUGCUUAGACUGCCAUUAUCUAUGGCAUUAUUUGUUCAGCUAGAUUUUUUUUCUCUACUAUAAAGAUAAAAAAGCUAUUAAAGAAGGGACAGAAAAUGGGAAACACUCUGACAGGAGUAGGAUGCAAGGCUAAGUGUAACAGUACUGAGGCUGCUGGUGACCAUCCUGUAAAAAAUGUGAUACUCCAAACAUGUAUUGUUUGCCAAAAAUUGCUGGGAAAAAAAAAAAAAAUAUCUACAAAUGUACUAGCAGUGCUAUUAAUCAAACUGCUUAUAUAUGGAAGACAUUUAUACAUGAUACAUUAGUUUUCUUCCAAAAAAUGGUCAGUUUUCUUCUGACUGCAGUUUAUGAUAUCCCAAAUGAAG